rnacentral:rRNA from 1 species
GCCUACGGGAGGCAGCAGUGAGGAAUAGGAAUNUUGGACAAUGGAGGCAACUCUGAUCCAGCCAUGCCGCGUGCAGGAAGACGGCCCUAUGGGUUGUAAACUGCUUUUAUACGGGAAGAAACCCAACUACGUGUAGUUGGCUGACGGUACCGUAAGAAUAAGCACCGGCUAACUCCGUGCCAGCAGCCGCGGUAAUACGGAGGGUGCAAGCCGUUAUCCGGAAUCAUUGGGUUUAAAGGGUCCGUAGGCGGGCUAAUAAGUCAGGGGUGAAAUCCAACAGCUUAACUGUUGAACUGCCUUUGAUACUGUUAGUCUUGAAUUAUAUGGAAGUAGAUAGAAUGUGUAGUGUAGCGGUGAAAUGCUUAGAGAUUACACAGAAUACCGAUUGCGAAGGCAGUCUACUACGUAUAUAUUGACGCUAAUGGACGAAAGCGUGGGGAGCGAACAGGAUUAGAUACCCUGGUAGUCCACGCCGUAAACGAUGGACACUAGUUGUUGGAUUUAUUCAGUGACUAAGCGAAAGUGAUAAGUGUCCCACCUGGGGAGUACGAACGCAAGUUUGAAACUCAAAU